rnacentral:rRNA from 1 species
UACGGGGGGGGCGAAGCGUUGUUCGGAAUUACUGGGCGUAAAGGCUCGUAGGCGGCCAACUAAGUCGGAUGGUGAAAUCCCCAGGCUCAACUUGGGAACUGCAUCCGAUACUGGAUGGCUUGAAUUCGGGAGAGGGAUGGCAGAAGUUCCAGGUGUAGCGGUGAAAUGCGUAGAUAGUACUGGAGGAAUACCGGUGGCGAAGGCGGCAUCCUGGACCGACAUUGGACGCUGACGGAGGCGAAAGCUGAGGGGAGCCAAAGCGGGGAUUAAGA